AUUGCCUUAGUAACGGCGAGUGAAGCGGCAACAGCUCAAAUUUGAAAUCUGGCCCUUGGGUCCGAAUUGUAAUUUGUAGAGGAUGAUUUUGGUGCGGUAUCUUCCGAGUUCCUUGGAACAGGACGCCUUAGAGGGUGAGAGCCCCGUACGGUUGAAUGCCUAGCCUCUGUAAAUCUCCUUCGACGAGUCGAGUAGUUUGGGAAUGCUGCUCUAAAUGGGAGGUAAAUUUCUUCUAAAGCUAAAUAUUGGCCAGAGACCGAUAGCGCACAAGUAGAGUGAUCGAAAGAUGAAAAGCACUUUGAAAAGAGGGUUAAAUAGCACGUGAAAUUGUUGAAAGGGAAGGAUUUGUGACCAGACUUUUUCUGGGCGGAUCAUCCGGGGUUCUCUCCGGUGCACUUCGCCCAGUAAAGGCCAGCAUCGGUUUUCGGCGUGGGAUAAAAGCAGUAGGAAUGUGGCUCUCUACGGGGAGUGUUAUAGCCUAUUGUAUAAUACCGCGCUGGGGACCGAGGUUCGCGCUUCUGCAAGGAUGCUGGCGUAAUGGUUAUCAAUCACCCGUCUUGAAACACGGACCAAGGAGUCGAACAUUUGUGCGAGUGUUUGGGUGUUAAACCCUCACGCGUAAUGAAAGUGAACGGAGGUGAGAGCCCUUACGGGUGCAUCAUCGACCGAUCCUGAAGUUUUCGGAUGGAUUUGAGUAAGAGCAUAACUGUUCGGACCCGAAAGAUGGUGAACUAUGCGUGGAUAGGGUGAAGCCAGAGGAAACUCUGGUGGAGGCUCGCAGCGGUUCUGACGUGCAAAUCGAUCGUCAAAUCUGCGCAU
rnacentral:rRNA from 1 species